rnacentral:rRNA from 1 species
AUUGAACGCUGGCGGCAGGCCUAACACAUGCAAGUCGAACGAGUGGCGGACGGGUGAGUCAUGUCUGGGAAACUGCCCGAUGGAGGGGGAUAACUACUGGAAACGGUAGCUAAUACCGCAUACCAUCGGAUGUGCCCAGAUGGGAUUAGCUAGUAGGUGGGGUAACGGCUCACCUAGGCGACGAUCCCUAGCUGGUCUGAGAGGAUGAACAGCCACACUGGAAAUGAGACACGGGCCAGACGCCUACGGGAGGCAGCAGUGGUGAAUAUUGCACAAGGGGCGCAAGCCUGAUGCAGCCAUGCCGCGUAUAUGAAGAAGGCCGUCGGGUUGUAAAGUACUUUCAGCGAGGAGGCGUUACUAGCGGAAGAAGCACCGGCUAACUCCGUGCCAGCAGCCGCGGUAAUAC